CAGGUCAAUAUUCCUGCACCGUCGUUAGAUGCGAUGGGGGGACGGAUCGCGGAAGGUUGUCCGGGUGUUGGAAGUCCCGGUCGCUGCAUUGGAGAAGGCGCUUAGGCAAAUCCGGGCGCAGGAUUCAAGGGUGUGGCGCGAGCUCCUUCGGGAGCGAAGCAAUUGGAAGUGGUUCCAAGAAAAGCCUCUAAGCUUCAGUCUAACGAUGACCGUACCGCAAACCGACACAGGUGGGCGAGAUGAGUAUUCUAAGGCGCUUGAGAGAACUCGGGAGAAGGAACUCGGCAAAUUGGUACCGUAACUUCGGGAUAAGGUACGCCCUGGUAGCUUGACUGGCCAGCGCCAGAAGGGUGAAGGGGUUGCAAUAAACUGGUGGCUGCGACUGUUUAAUAAAAACACAGCACUCUGCAAACACGAAAGUGGACGUAUAGGGUGUGACGCCUGCCCGGUGCCGGAAGAUUAAAUGAUGGGGUGCAAGCUCUUGAUUGAAGUCCCGGUAAACGGCGGCCGUAACUAUAACGGUCCUAAGGUAGCGAAAUUCCUUGUCGGGUAAGUUCCGACCUGCACGAAUGGCGUAACGAUGGCCACACUGUCUCCUCCCGAGACUCAGCGAAGUUGAAGUGUUUGUGAUGAUGCAAUCUACCCGCGGCUAGACGGAAAGACCCCAUGAACCUUUACUGUAGCUUUGCAUUGGACUUUGAACCGAUCUGUGUAGGAUAGGUGGGAGGCUAUGAAACCGGAACGCUAGUUUCGGUGGAGCCGUCCUUGAAAUACCACCCUGGUUUGUUUGAGGUUCUAACCUUGGCCCGUGAUCCGGGUCGGGGACAGUGCAUGGUAGGCAGUUUGACUGGGGCGGUCUCCUCCCAAAGCGUAACGGAGGAGUACGAAGGUACGCUAGGUACGGUCGGAAAUCGUGCUGAUAGUGCAAUGGCAUAAGCGUGCUUAACUGCGAGACCGACAAGUCGAGCAGGUGCGAAAGCAGGUCAUAGUGAUCCGGUGGUUCUGUAUGGAAGGGCCAUCGCUCAACGGAUAAAAGGUACUCUGGGGAUAACAGGCUGAUACCGCCCAAGAGUUCAUAUCGACGGCGGUGUUUGGCACCUCGAUGUCGGCUCAUCUCAUCCUGGGGCUGUAGCCGGUCCCAAGGGUAUGGCUGUUCGCCAUUUAAAGAGGUACGUGAGCUG
rnacentral:rRNA from 1 species